GACGAACCACACAAACGUUAUUCGGAAUUACUGGGCUUAAAGGGUGCGUAGGCGGCGCGGAAAGUUGGGUGUGAAAUCCCUCGGCUCAACCGAGGAACUGCGCCCAAAACUACCGUGCUCGAGGGAGAUAGAGGUGAGCGGAACUUAGGGUGGAGCGGUGAAAUGCGUUGAUAUCCUAAGGAACACCCGUGGCGAAAGCGGCUCACUGGGUCUCUUCUGACGCUGAGGUACGAAAGCUAGGGUAGCGAACGGG
rnacentral:rRNA from 1 species